CUGCAGAACGGCAACCUCUACUCUCAACUAAUAGGAAUGUGAAUGAGGUUCUCGAUAUUAUGAAAAAGAAUGUAGAGAAGGUUAUAGAAAGAGAAGAACAGUUAUCCAACAUCCAAGAACGUUCGGAUGCUUUGGAGGAAGGUUCUAGCAGAUUCAGCUCUGCAGGAAGGCAGGUUCGAAGAAAAAAGUUCUGGCAGAAUAAGAAAUGGUGGUUAUUGCUUUUAGGGAUUUUAUUUUUACUUGCGCUAAUUCUACUGCUAUCCUUCAAGCCGUGGCGGUAAAAAAAAAUUAAAUUCAAACUUAAAUUAAU